GUUUUGUGAUGAUCACAUGCGUGUCAACUGAUCCCAGCGGUUGUCUGGUAGCUAGCACCUUACUGAUGUUUUAUCAGUGAGUGAUGUUGAUUAUUGGAGGAUUCUGGGAGUAUGAUCAUGCUAUUCACUUCUGAAAAU